GACGAACGCUGCGGCGUGCCUAAUACAUGCAAGUAGAACGCUGAAGCUUGGUGCUUGCACCGAGCGGAUGAGUUGCGAACGGGUGAGUAACGCGUAGGUAACCUGCCUGGUAGCGGGGGAUAACUAUUGGAAACGAUAGCUAAUACCGCAUAAAAUGGAUUAUCGCAUGAUAAUUCAUUGAAAGGUGCAAAUGCAUCACUACCAGAUGGACCUGCGUUGUAUUAGCUAGUUGGUGGGGUAACGGCUCACCAAGGCGACGAUACAUAGCCGACCUGAGAGGGUGAUCGGCCACACUGGGACUGAGACACGGCCCAGACUCCUACGGGAGGCAGCAGUAGGGAAUCUUCGGCAAUGGACGGAAGUCUGACCGAGCAACGCCGCGUGAGUGAAGAAGGUUUUCGGAUCGUAAAGCUCUGUUGUAAGAGAAGAACGAGUGUGAGAGGAAAGUUCACACUGUGACGGUAUCUUACCAGAAAGGACGGCUA
rnacentral:rRNA from 1 species